rnacentral:rRNA from 1 species
UCAAGUGAAUAAGCGCAUGUGGUGGAUGCCUUGGCGGCAUAAGGCGAUGAAGGACGUAGUAGUCUGCGAUAAGCUUCGGUAAGCUGACAAACAAGCUUUGACCCGGAGAUUUCCGAAUGGGAAAACCCACUCUACAUAAGUAGAGUAUCUCCAUCUGAAUACAUAGGAUGGUAGAGGCAAACCUGGAGAACUGAAACAUCUUAGUAACCAGAGGAAAAGAAAUCAAUUGAGAUUUCCUUAGUAGCGGCGAGCGAAAAGGAAAUAGUCCAGUCACUAAAUCCAUACGAAUACUAGCAAAAUAACCUGGAAAGGUUGGUCAUAGAAGGUGAUAACCCUGUAUGCGAAAGUUUAGUAUGGUGGGUGACGAUGAGUAGAGCGGGACACGUGGUAUCUUGCUUGAACAUGGGGGGACCAUCCUCCAAGACUAAAUACUCUAUGCCGACCGAUAGUGAACUAGUACUGUGAAGGAAAGGCGAAAAGAACCCCGGUUAGGGGAGUGAAAUAGAACCUGAAACCGUAUGCGUACAAGCAGUGGGAGCCUCUUAUGAGGUGACUGCGUACCUUUUGUAUAAUGGGUCAGCGACUUACAUUUAGUAGCAAGCUUAACUUUAAUAAGGUAGGCGAAGGGAAACCGAGUCUUAAUAGGGCGUUUAGUUUCUAGGUGUAGACCCGAAACCGAGUGAUCUAUCCAUGGCCAGAGUGAAGGUGGGGUAAUUCCUACUGGAGGCUCGAACCCACUUAUGUUGAAAAAUGAGGGGAUGAGCUGUGGAUUGGAGUGAAAGGCUAAUCAAACUCGGAGAUAGCUGGUUCUCCGCGAAAGCUAUUUAGGUAGCGCCUCGUGUAUUACUAUUGGGGGUAGAGCACUGUUAUGGCUAGGGGGACAUCCCGUCUUACCAAACCAUUGCAAACUCCGAAUACCAAUAAGUACAGCACGGGAGACACACUGCGGGUGCUAACGUCCGUAGUGGAGAGGGAAACAACCCAGACCAACAGCUAAGGUCCCAAAAUUAUGACUAAGUGGAAAACGAAGUGGGAAGGCCUAGACAUCCAGGAGGUUGGCUUAGAAGCAGCCAUCCUUUAAAGAAAGCGUAACAGCUCACUGGUUGAGUCGGCCUGCGCGGAAGAUUUACCGGGGCUAAGUCAUAUACCGAAGCUUUGGAUCCUAGUUUACUAGGAUGGUAGCGGAGCGUUCUGUAUGUCACUGAAGGUGUAUCGUGAGGUAUGCUGGAGAUAUCAGAAGUGCGAAUGCUGACAUAAGUAACGAUAAUGUAGGUGAGAACCCUACACGCCGAAAACCUAAGGUUUCCUCCGCAACGUCAAUCGGCGGAGAGUUAGUCGGUACCUAAGGCGAGGCCGAAAGGCGUAGUCGAUGGAAAACAGGUUAAUAUUCCUGUACCGCUUUUAACUGCGAUGGAGAGACGGAGAAGGUUAGAUCAGCCAGUCAACGGUUAUACUGGUGUAAGUAUGUAGGAAUUAUCCUUAGGCAAAUCCGGGGAUAUUUAUUUCGAGAUACGAAUGCGAAGCUUUUUCUUCGGAAUUAGCGAAGUGGUCGAUACCAUACUUCCAAGAAAAUCUUCUAAGCUUCAGGUUAAAAGUGGCCGUACCCUAAACGGACACACGUGGGUGGGAUGAGAAUUCUAAGGCGCAUGAGAGAACUCAGUUGAAGGAACUAGGCAAAAUGAUACCGUAACUUCGGGAGAAGGUAUGCCUUUUGUAUGUGAUGCCACUUGCUGGCUGAGCAGAAGAAGGUUGCAAUAAAAUGAUGGCUGCGACUGUUUACUAAAAACACAGCACUCUGCAAACUCGAAAGAGGAAGUAUAGGGUGUGACGCCUGCCCGGUGCCGGAAGGUUAAUUGAUGGGGUUAGCUUGCUUGCAAGCGAAGCUCUUGAUCGAAGCCCCGGUGAACGGCGGCCGUAACUAUAACGGUCCUAAGGUAGCGAAAUUCCUUGUCGGGUAAGUUCCGACCUGCACGAAUGGCGUAACGAUGGCCAUACUGUCUCCAACCGAGACUCAGUGAAAUUGAAAUUGCUGUGAAGAUGCAGUGUACGCGCGGCUAGACGGAAAGACCCCGUGCACCUUUACUACAGCUUUACACUGAACUUUGAAUCUAAUUGUGUAGGAUAGCUGGGAGCCUUUGAAGCUGAUGCGCUAGCAUUAGUGGAGGCAACCUUGAAAUACCAGCCUGUUAUCUUUGGAGUUCUAACCCAGGACCGUUAUCCGGUUCGGAGACAGUGUAUGGUGGGUAGUUUGACUGGGGCGGUCUCCUCCCAAAGAGUAACGGAGGAACGCGAUGGUACCCUCAGUACGGUUGGAAAUCGUACGAUGCGUGUAAAGGCAUAAGGGUGCUUGACUGCGAGACAGACAUGUCGAGCAGGUACGAAAGUAGGUCUUAGUGAUCCGGUGGUUCUGUAUGGAAGGGCCAUCGCUCAAUGGAUAAAAGGUACGCCGGGGAUAACAGGCUGAUACUGCCCAAGAGCUCAUAUCGACGGCAGUGUUUGGCACCUCGAUGUCGGCUCAUCACAUCCUGGGGGUGAAGCAGCUCCCAAGGGUAUGGCUGUUCGCCAUUUAAAGUGGUACGCGAGCUGGGUUUAGAACGUCGUGAGACAGUUCGGUCCCUAUCUACCGUGCGCGUUUGAUAUUUGAUGGAUGUUACUCCUAGUACGAGAGGACCGGAGUGAACCUAUCCCUGGUGUUCCAGUUGUCUCACCAGAGGCAUUGCUGGGUAGCUAUAUAGGGUUGUGAUAACCGCUGAAAGCAUCUAAGCGGGAAGCCAUACCAAAGAUUAGAUAUCACUGGACCUUUAAGGUCCCUGAAGAUCCGUUCAAGACUAGGACGUUGAUAGGCUGGGUGUGGAAGCUUGGUAACAAGUGAAGCUAACCAGUACUAAUUGAUCGUGAGGCUUGCUCU